CCUACGGGUGGCAGCAGUGAGGAAUAUUGCACAAUGGACGCAAGCCUGAACCAGCCAUGUCGCGUGCAGGAAGACGGCCCUAUGAGUUGUAAACUUCUUUUGUACGGGAGUAAAAGAAGAUACGCGUAGAUUUCUGAAAGUACCCGAAGAAUAAGGAUCGGCUAACUCCGUGCCAGCAGCCGCGGUAAUACGGAGGAUUCAAGCGUUAUCCGGAUUUUUUGGGUUUAAAGGGUGCGUAGGCGGUAAGUUAAGUUAGAUGUUAAAUUUCAAGGCUCAACCUCGGACGUGCCGUUGAAACUGGUUGGCUUGAGAGAGUGAGAGGUAUGCGGAAUGUGUGGUGUAGCGGUGAAAUGCAUAGAUAUCACGCAGAACACCGAUUGCGAAGGCAGCAUACCGGGGCUCAACUGACGCUGAUGCACGAAAGCGUGGGGAGCGAACAGGAUUAGAUACCCCAGUAGUC
rnacentral:rRNA from 1 species